rnacentral:rRNA from 1 species
CCUACGGGAGGCUGCAGUGGGGAAUAUUGGACAAUGGGGGCAACCCUGAUCCAGCCAUGCCGCGUGUGUGAAGAAGGCCCUCGGGUUGUAAAGCACUUUCAGUGAGGAAGAACGCCUGGUGGUUAAUACCCAUCAGGAAAGACAUCACUCACAGAAGAAGCACCGGCUAACUCCGUGCCAGCAGCCGCGGUAAUACGGAGGGUGCGAGCGUUAAUCGGAAUUACUGGGCGUAAAGCGCGCGUAGGUGGCUUGAUAAGCCGGUUGUGAAAGCCCCGGGCUCAACCUGGGAACGGCAUCCGGAACUGUCAAGCUAGAGUGCCGGAGAGGAAGGUAGAAUUCCCGGUGUAGCGGUGAAAUGCGUAGAGAUCGGGAGGAAUACCAGUGGCGAAGGCGGCCUUCUGGACUGACACUGACACUGAGGUGCGAAAGCGUGGGUAGCAAACAGGAUUAGAUACCCGAGUAGUC